rnacentral:sRNA from 1 species
AUUCUUUUUCUUCUUCUUUU